CUUAAAAACCCAUACUAAACCUAAAAUUCUACUUUCUGAGACCUUGACCCACUUAAACCUCAAUAUCUCUCACUUCAACCGUUAGAUCGAGCUCAAAUACACAACAUGUAUUUAACACAACUAUAAUCAUGAACCCAAAGAAUUUCUUCCAUAGAUCUGCAACAGAACUUUCAAAAUCACUCAAAACAUAAACCCUAUUUUAUUUCAUAAAACCCAAGUCAUCCAAAACAAACCUCUACUAUGCAAAGCUCUUACAAAGUCAUAUCAACUCUAAAUCAUCCAAAAUCAAUGCCCAUAAAAACCUUAUCCAAUCUUCUAUCAAAUUCCACUCUCCGAUCUGCCAAAGAGUCCUAGAGUCGUCGUCGAGACUCGGUUUUGUGCCUCAGGGUUUGAUUUCGACC
rnacentral:lncRNA from 1 species